GAAACCACUGUAACAUAAUCCUAUUGCGGUAUUUCCUCUAUUCAAGUGGUGAGGAGAAAGAUGAGGUCUAUCUUAAUCUGGUGCUUGGCUCUGUUCUGGGAACAGUAUACAGAGUUGCCAGACACUGUAGUAGAGCCAAACAAGACUCUCCUUGUGAUCUACAUCAAGUUGUAUAUGUAUCAACUGUUCAGAAGUUUAGCCUACAUCUAUUCCUUUGGAUUCUGCCACUGGGAUAUUAAACCACACAGCCUCUUGUUGGAUCCUGAUACAGCCAU
rnacentral:lncRNA from 1 species